rnacentral:misc_RNA from 1 species
GGACAAACUAAACCUUUGCAAUCCCACAUCAAUAGAUCCACAACUCCUGCAGGAGGAUCACGAAAUAGUUGUCUGCCCAAACUAGUAUUCACAGCCAAAUUGGCUAAUCUAUCAGCAACUUGAUUAGCUUCUUGAUAGUAAUGCUAAAUUUUAACUUGCCAUUCCCUAGAUAGAAGAGUACGGCAUUGAGAAAUUAAGUUCACAUGCCGCAAAUUCGAUCUAAAAUCAGCCAGAACCAAUUCCUUCGACACCAAAGAAUUUAACUCAACAAUCAACUGUCAGUAAUCCAGCUCUCAUGCUAUAUGAAGACCAUGUAAUAGAGCAUUCAACUCAGCCUCCAUAAAGGUGCAAAUAUCUAAUCGAAUCAAAUAACCCCCCAUCCAAAUACCAUGAUGAUCUCGAGUAACAUCACCCCCUCCAACACGUCCUGGAUUCCCCUUAUACGCUCCAUCAGAAUUAAGCUUCAUCCCACCCAUUGCAGGAGCAACCCAAGAAACAGCAACAAUAGUACAAGGACAAGUAAUUAUACCUUGACAAUGAGCAGACCAAGCUUUAGCAUUAGAAGCAAAUUGAGAUUGUAAUAAGAAGAUCUUCGCAUCAGUUGAAUAAACAUGGCCGUUAACAAAAUCAUUUCUCCAUCUGCAAAUCCACCACAGAGUGAUAGCUAAAAUUUGAAGAGAGGAACAAUCAUUACAAACAUGGGGUUGCAAAGAAUCACCCUUAUUAACUCAAUCAUCACUUGUCCAGCUACAAAAUAAUAGAAAGGAAUCACCAUCCCAAAUGCACUCCAUAUCACUCUAGCAUAGGGGCAGUCUCUCAGAACAUGUUCAAUAGAUUCAAUAGCAAUGCCACCCAAAGGACAACCAGCAUCUAUAGCAAAGCUUCUCUUCACACGCUCAAGAUUUGUCAUCAGCU